rnacentral:rRNA from 1 species
AUUGAACGCUGGCGGCAGGCCUAACACAUGCAAGUCGAGCGGAUGAAGGGAGCUUGCUCCUGGAUUCAGCGGCGGACGGGUGCGUAAUGCCUAGGAAUGUGCCUGGUAGUGGGGGAUAACGUCCGUAAACGGGCGCUAAUACCGCAUACGUCCUGAGGGAGAAAGUGGGGGAUCUUAGGACCGCACGAAAUCAGAUGAGCCUAGGUCGGAUUAGCUAGUUGGUGGGGUAAAGGCCUACCAAGGCGACGAUCCGUAACUGGUCUGAGAGGAUGAUCAGUCACACUGGAACUGAAACACGGUCCAGACCACUACGGUACGCAGCAGUGCGGAAUAUUGGACUAUGGGCGGAAGCCUGGUCCAGCCCUGCCGCGUGUGUGAAGAAGGUCUUCGGAUUUGAAAGCACAUUAAGUUGGGAGGAAGGGCAGUAAGUUAAUACCUUGCUGUUUUGACGGUACCAAAAGAAUAAGCACCGGCUAACUUCGUG